rnacentral:rRNA from 1 species
UCGAGGAUCUUUAUCAAUGCCCGAAAGGGUGAAUAUGCGACGCCGCGUGCAGGAUGAAGGCCUUCGGGUCGUAAACUGCUGUCAGGGGUGAUGAAAAGUCGCGUGUGAAUAGCACGCGAUCUUGACACUAGCCCCAAAGGAAGCCACGGCUAACUCUGUGCCAGCAGCCGCGGUAAUACAGAGGUGGCAAGCGUUGUUCGGAUUUAUUGGGUGUAAAGGGCAGGUAGGCGGCCAAGUAAGUCUAUUGUGAAAUCCCAAGGCUCAACCUUGGAACUGCAGUAGAAACUACUCGGCUUGAGUAUCGGAGAGGUGAGGGGAAUUCUCGGUGUAAGGGUGAAAUCUGUAGAUAUCGAGAGGAAUACCCGUGGCGAAGGCGCCUCACUGGUCGGUAACUGACGCUGAACUGCGAAAGCUAGGGGAGCAAACAGG